UUCUUAUCGUUCACUCAGUAGGUUGCGUGACUAAAAAAUAUAAGAAGUCGAGCCGAUAUUAUUUUAUAUAAUAUAUAUUCUUUCUUAUUAUUAACGUCAUUCUUUUCUUCCUUGAAAACGAGGGUAAGUUAUUUAUUAGCUAAGGAACCGUUGAUCCUUCGCUCCCCUUGUUGGCAAUUGUGAUGUCAUUUUUGCAAAUUGAUUGACGUGAAAUGUCUAACUUGGGGCUUCAAGAUAUCCUUCAUUUAGCUCAAAGGGCUGUGAAAUAUGAUGAGGCUGGAAACCAUGAACCUGCGAUUUACUAUUAUCGAGAAGUAGCUCAACUACUUCAACAAAGUUUCCCUGACACUUUUGAAUAUACACAAAAGGCCGAAAAGUACAAAGAAAGAGCCAAGACCUUGGAAAAAUCUGCUGGGAAAACGUUGGAUGAGAAGUCAAAGAAUGUCUCCGAAGAUGCAGAUUUCUUGAAAGCAGUCUUUCUCGUAGAGGAAGGCUUAUCCGAAGAUGAAGCCGGUAAUUCUAAAGAGGCUAUUGAACUCUAUGGCUCUGCGGUUGAACUUUGUCUUAAGGCCCGAUCAACGGUAAAGGAUGCUGGUUUGAAGGAUAAGCUUUCUCAAUUAGCCUCCGAAGCUCUAACAAGAGCUGAAAAGAUAAAAAACACGGGCAAAAAGGUCCAUAAGCCAGCUAUGCCUCCUUUGGGUCUUUUGAAACUGGAUGAUGAAGAAGCGAAUGAGAAAAAGAGCCGAGGACAUGGCUAUUCAGAAGAAGAGAAACGAGUGUUGGCCAAGACAUCUCUCAUUAAUGGUAGAGAGUAUGUACCUUUUAUGAGUGUGGAUUUUAAAGAAAGAUUUGGGUUUCCAAUGCCUUUUAACGAUAAGCAUGGAAAAUUAAGUUUAUCCAUCAAACAAAAGAUGAAGUUAAAAUCUUGGUCUAGGCCGGAAGAAUUUAUGAAAGAACCCAAAAUAUUUGAAGUUGUUGAUUGUUAUAGUGUUAAACAAACUGUUGUGUCCGAUUGUUCAUUUUUAGCCUCCAUUGCCGUUGCCGCACAGUAUGAAAAAAAAUUUAAAAAGAGACUCAUUUCUUCGAUUAUUUUCCCUAAAAAUAAAAAUGGAGAUCCUGUUUAUAAUCCUUGUGGAAAAUAUAUGGUGAAACUCCGCGUCAAUGGCGUUUCAAGAAAAGUUGUCAUAGAUGAUUUUUUACCUCUUGGAGAUAAUAAUGAACUAAUAUGCUCAUAUUCGUCUAAUCGUAAUGAAUUAUGGGUGUCAUUACUUGAAAAGGCUUAUAUGAAGGUUAUGGGUGGCUAUGAUUUUCCUGGAUCAAAUAGUAAUAUAGAUUUGUACGCUCUCACAGGCUGGAUACCUGAACGUUUAGGAAUAAAAAAGAAUGAUCCUAAUUUUGAAAAAGACAAGGCAUUUAAAAAGAUACAUGACCGUUUUCAUAAAGGUGAUGUACUAGUGACGUUUGCUACUGGUGAUAUUGGAGAUUUUGCUGCAGAUAGAGCGGGCUUAGUUCAAAAACAUGCCUAUGCCAUGUUGGAUGUCAGAGAAGUCAAUGGUGUCAAGUUAUUUCUUGUAAAAAAUCCUUGGGCCCAUCUUCGUUGGCGCGGUAAUUAUUCAGAAAUUGAUAAUCGUAACUGGACUCGAGAAUUGAAGGCUGCGCUUAAUUAUAACCCGGAGUCAGCUGCUAAUUUUGAUAAUGGAGUUUUUUGGAUAGAUUUUGACUCCGUCCUAGAAUUUUUUGAAGUGAUAUAUAUGAACUGGAACCCUAAUUUAUUCAAGUUUAGUUAUUCGAUUCAUCAGAGUUGGGAUGCUGGAGUUGGACCCGUUAAAGACAUGUUUUAUUUUUCCAAUAACCCACAAUAUCUACUUGAGCUAACAGCUCCUGGCCCUGGUGCUUUAUGGAUCCUUCUUUCAAGACACAUUACUGAUAUUGAAGAUUUUAAAAAUAAUAAGGAAUAUAUUGCCUUAAUGGUUUACAAAAAUAAGGGAAAGCGUAUUUACUACCCUGUCGAUCCACCGCCAUUUUUAGAUGCUGUUAAAAUCAAUACUCCAUUAUAUCUUGUGCAAACAGUUAUCAAGGAUGAUACAGAUCGAAAAUUUACUUUAGUUGUUUCACAAUUUGAAAAAUCAACAACCAUUAACUAUUCCCUCAGGGUUUUCAGUACCCUUCCGUUUACAUUGAGAAAAUUGGAACAAGCUUAUAAGUAUAAAAAAGAAAUAACUAAUGGACAAUGGAAAGGGAGUACUGCAGGUGGAUCUUCAACUUUUGGAGAUGAAUACAAAGGCAAUCCCAGAUAUCAGCUCAAAAUUGAUACUGAUAGUGAAGUUCUUGUGGAAUUGAAGGGUCCUAGACAAUUUUUUAUUGGAUUCGAUAUAAUGUCCGUAGUAGUUGCCAACACGUCUUCACCCAAAUUUUUUAACUUAAAACAGUCUGGACCUUUUAGACCUGCAUUUGCAGUUUUAGCUCUGGAUUUACUCGCAGGAACUUAUGAUAUCAUACCCUGUACCUUCAAACCAAAACAAGAGUCGCCAUUUUUUCUUACUGUUCAAUGUACUAGUCCUUUUAAAUUGGGAAGAUUAUCCUAAAAUAUAGCAAUGAGUUAUACAAAUGACAUUUUAUGCUAUUCCUCCGAAUGGGUUUAUGCAUAUGGAGAAGAUGAUAAGUUUGGGAAGGAAGCGUCUUCAAUUUUUUGAAGUCAUGCAGGAUUUAGUAAAUGAAUCAAAACCGUUCGAAAAUGAGGAGAAAGACAGUUUCUUUUCCAAUGUUGAUAUUGAAAAGCUUCAUGAUCGAUUGUCGGAGUUACAUUACUUGUCAGAAAGUGUCAUGGAAGAGACUCCUCAUGAUAAAACAGCAUUUUGUCUCUUGCAAUUGGUUGUUGCAUAUAGUGAUAAUUUUGAACUCUCAGAAUUUAUUAUUCGUGGGGAGCAAAAUCUCUUCAAGUAUAGACUUCAAAUAAGUGAGGGACAUAUUACUCAAGAAGUGCUUCUUACACUCAUACAAGACUUGGAUUUAUUGUAUGAAAAUGAUAAAAGUAUGCUAACAAUCACUAGUGUAUUGAAGGGCAUUUGUCAGCCCUAUACCAGUAUUCCCAUUCCUUUUCAGUAUCUUACUAAGCUUGUGGCUCGACGAGAGAUCGAAGUAAGGGAUGUUUCUGUACCAAAGAGGUAUUAAAAAUCUUCGUAACUCAAAUAACGAUGAAUUUCGUUUGCCCUAUAUGAUGAAUAAUCUAAUCCGCUUUUUUUUACAAGAAAUUUGUCCAAAACUUUAUCGACAUAAUUUGGCAUCUUCUGAUAACAUACAGACACUAUCCGUUCAUUUUCCUCUAUGCUUUCAUCAACUGUACCUUAUAUUAAUGAAUGAGAAUAGACUUAGACACGACUCCAGAAUUGCCUUUACAUUGUUUUUGAAGGAAAUAGGGGUUUCCUUGAAUGGUUCAAUUAGUUUCUGGUCUAUGAAUUACUCAAAAGAAAGUAAGUCCAGUGGAUGUAACCAUUCCUGGCAGAAGGAUCAGCGAAAACUUCUGUACAGUAUCAGACACUCUUAUGGUUUGGAAGGGAAUAAAAUAAACUAUUCAGCUCAUAGUUGUUCAAGCAUUCAAAAAAAUUCGUAUAAAGGACCAAAUGAGCAAUUAAUUUGCCCAUUUACCAAUCAGGGGAACGGUUUCGCUCAUCCAGAUAUAGAAGAUUUAGUGCAAUCGAGACAGCCCUCUAAAGCUUGCGAAAGAUAUUUUGCUCAUUUAAAGCAGUCACAUGUUCAAACAACACUCUUAAAACCCUCAGAUUAUUUCUUCAGCUCAUUUAAUAUUGAAAAGGAAUCGUGAAUACUCUUCUGGUUUACAUAUUACUUAGUCAUGAUUGCGAAUUUUAUCGAUAUGAAUUAAGGUUCUACAAUUUAUAGUUAAUUUAAAAAAAAAAAUUAUAUUAUUGUAGGGAUUCAUUCUGAAGUAGGUAGCUAAAAUAAUUUUUAUACGUAUGUCUAAAAAUGUUAAAAUAUAUGGUUACUAAUAUUUGGGAAA
rnacentral:misc_RNA from 1 species